AGUGGCGACCGGGUGAGUAACACGUGACUAACCUACCUUCGAGUGGGGGAUAACCUCGGGAAACCGGGGCUAAUACCGCAUAAUGCCUUCGGGUUAAAGGAGCAAUUCGCUUGAAGAGGGGGUCGCGGCUGAUUAGCUAGUUGGCGGGGUAAUGGCCCACCAAGGCGAUGAUCGGUAGCCGGCCUGAGAGGGCGCACGGCCACACUGGAACUGAAACACGGUCCAGACUCCUACGGGAGGCAGCAGUGGGGAAUUUUGCGCAAUGGGGGAAACCCUGACGCAGCAACGCCGCGUGGAGGAUGAAGUCCCUUGGGACGUAAACUCCUUUCGACCGGGACGAUAAUGACGGUACCGGUGGAAGAAGCCCCGGCUAACUUCGUGCCAGCAGCCGCGGUAAUACGAGGGGGGCAAGCGUUGUUCGGAAUUAUUGGGCGUAAAGGGCGCGUAGGCGGUGCGGUAAGUCACCUGUGAAACCUCUGGGCUCAACCCAGAGCCUGCAGGCGA
rnacentral:rRNA from 1 species